rnacentral:rRNA from 1 species
GCCCACAAACCGUCGGAGCCUCCUUGUGGGGUGACGGCGUGCCUAUCGAAAAAUGAGUCUGCGAGUCAGUGGUAUGUGGCGAGGUUAACCCGUGUGGGGUAGCCGUAGGGAAACCGAAUCCUAAUGGGGUGUCAAGUGGCAUGUCCUGGACCCGAAGCGGGGUGAUCUACCCAUGGCCAGGUUGAAGCGCGGGUAAGACCGCGUGGAGGACCGAACCCACUUAGGUUGAAAACUGAGGGGAUGACCUGUGGAUAGGGGUGAAAGGCCAAUCAAACUUCGUGAUAGCUGGUUCUCUCCGAAAUGCAUUUAGGUGCAGCGUUGCGUGUUUCUUGCCGGAGGUAGAGCUACUGGAUGGCCGAUGGGCCCUACAAGGUUACUGACGUCAGCCAAACUCCGAAUGCCGGUAAGUGAGAGCGCAGCAGUGAGACAGUGGGGGAUAAGCUUCAUUGUCGAGAGGGAAACAGCCCAGACCGUC